rnacentral:rRNA from 1 species
AUUGAACGCUGGCGGCAUGCUUUACACAUGCAAGUCGAACGGUAACAGGCCUUCGGGUGCUGACGAGUGGCGAACGGGUGAGUAAUGCAUCGGAACGUGCCCAGAGGUGGGGGAUAACGCAGCGAAAGCUGUGCUAAUACCGCAUGUGAUCUGAGGAUGAAAGCGGGGGACCAGGCAGCAAUGUUUGGCCUCGCGCCUUUGGAGCGGCCGAUGUCAGAUUAGGUAGUUGGUGGGGUAAAGGCCUACCAAGCCGACGAUCUGUAGCUGGUCUGAGAGGACGACCAGCCACACUGGGACUGAGACACGGCCCAGACUCCUACGGGAGGCAGCAGUGGGGAAUUUUGGACAAUGGGCGCAAGCCUGAUCCAGCAAUGCCGCGUGCGGGAAGAAGGCCUUCGGGUUGUAAACCGCUUUUGUAGGAACGAAAAGGCUCUGGCUAAUACCUGGGGCUGAUGACGGUACCGUAAGAAUAAGCACCGGCUAACUACGUG